rnacentral:rRNA from 1 species
GAUGAACGCUGGCGGCGUGCCUAAUACAUGCAAGUCGAGCGGACAGAUGAGGAGCUUGCUCCUCUGACGUUAGCGGCGGACGGGUGAGUAACACGUGGAUAACCUACCUAUAAGACUGGGAUAACUUCGGGAAACCGGAGCUAAUACCGGAUAAUAUAUUGAACCGCAUGGUUCAAUAGUGAAAGACGGUUUUGCUGUCACUUAUAGAUGGAUCUGCGCCGCAUUAGCUAGUUGGUAAGGUAACGGCUUACCAAGGCAACGAUGCGUAGCCGACCUGAGAGGGUGAUCGGCCACACUGGAACUGAGACACGGUCCAGACUCCUACGGGAGGCAGCAGUAGGGAAUCUUCCGCAUUGGGCGAAAGCCUGACGGAGCAACGCCGCGUGAGUGAUGAAGGUCUUCGGAUCGUAAAACUCUGUUAUUAGGGAAGAACAAAUGUGUAAGUAACUAUGCACGUCUUGACGGUACCUAAUCAGAAAGCCACGGCUAACUACGUG